rnacentral:rRNA from 1 species
GUUCGGUUGUCACGCCAGUGGCACUGCCCGGUAGCUAAGUUCGGAAUCGAUAACCGCUGAAAGCAUCUAAGCGGGAAGCGAGCCCUGAGAUGAGUCAUCCCUGACCCCUUGAGGGUCCUAAAGGGCCGUUGGAGACCACAACGUUGAUAGGUGGGGUGUGUAAGCGCAGUGAUGUGUUGAGCUAACCCAUACUAAUUACCCGUGAGGCUUAACCAUACAACACCCAAGAAGUGUUCUG